CCACAAGGAUGAUAUGCUAGAACUCUCUCUUACUGAGUUAACAGUGGAGAAUUGCCUCACUGAGUGGU